UAAGACGUAGGGGGCGAGCGUUGUCCGGAUUUAUUGGGCGUAAAGCGCGCGUAGGCGGCCCGUUAAGUCGGUUGUGAAAACCCGGGGCUCAACCCCGGGCCCGCAUCCGAUACUGGCGGGCUAGAGGCAGGUAGGGGAGAGCGGAAUUCCCGGUGUAGCGGUGAAAUGCGCAGAUAUCGGGAGGAACACCGGUGGCGAAGGCGGCUCUCUGGGCCUGUCCUGACGCUCAGGCGCGAAAGCUAGGGGAGCAAACAGGAUUAGAUACCCUGGUAGUCCUAGCCGUAAACGUUGGGUGCUAGGUGUGGGGCGGCGUUUGACCCGUCCUGUGCCGAAGCUAACGCAUUAAGCACCCCGCCUGGGGAGUACGGCCGCAAGGCUA
rnacentral:rRNA from 1 species